AUGCUGGACUGCAAAACACCAGGUUCAGACAUUUGGUGUAUGUGCUUGGCUGAGGAGCCAAUGGGGCGAAGCUACCAUCUGUGGGAUUAUGACUGAAUGCCUCUAAAUCAGAAUCCC
rnacentral:ncRNA from 1 species